rnacentral:tRNA from 2 species
GCAGCGGGGCUGAUGUGUAAAGCAGAACGCCCCGACGGGCGGGGCGUUCUGGCUGCUGCGCGGGUGAAUCAGAGGGCCGCGAGACCCGCCUGCUGCACCA